UCUUCCCUCUGGCGGCGUGCCUAAUACAUGCAAGUCGAGCGAACAGACGAGGAGCUUGCUCCUCUGACGUUAGCGGCGGACGGGUGAGUAACACGUGGAUAACCUACCUAUAAGACUGGGAUAACUUCGGGAAACCGGAGCUAAUACCGGAUAAUAUAUUGAACCGCAUGGUUCAAUAGUGAAAGACGGUUUUGCUGUCACUUAUAGAUGGAUCCGCGCCGCAUUAGCUAGUUGGUAAGGUAACGGCUUACCAAGGCAACGAUGCGUAGCCGACCUGAUAGGGGGAUCGGCCACACUGGAACUGAGACACGGUCCAGACUCCUACGGGAGGCAGCAGUAGGGAAUCUUCCGCAAUGGGCGAAAGCCUGACGGAGCAACGCCGCGUGAGUGAUGAAGGUCUUCGGAUCGUAAAACUCUGUUAUUAGGGAAGAACAAAUGUGUAAGUAACUAUGCACGUCUUGACGGUACCUAAUCAGAAAGCCACGGCUAACUACGUG
rnacentral:rRNA from 1 species